GAUGAACGCUAGCUACAGGCUUAACACAUGCAAGUCGAGGGGAAACGGCAUUAAGUGCUUGCACUUUUUGGACGUCGACCGGCGCACGGGUGAGUAACGCGUAUCCAACCUUCCCAUGACUAAGGGAUAACCUGCCGAAAGGCAGACUAAUACCUUAUGGUCUUCACUGACGGCAUCAGAUGUGAAGUAAAGAUUUAUCGGUUAUGGAUGGGGAUGCGUCUGAUUAGUUAGUUGGCGGGGUAACGGCCCACCAAGGCAACGAUCAGUAGGGGUUCUGAGAGGAAGGUCCCCCACAUUGGAACUGAGACACGGUCCAAACUCCUACGGGAGGCAGCAGUGAGGAAUAUUGGUCAAUGGGCGAGAGCCUGAACCAGCCAAGUAGCGUGCAGGAUGACGGCCCUAUGGGUUGUAAACUGCUUUUGUAUGGGGAUAAAGUCAAUCACGUGUGAUUGUUUGCAGGUACCAUACGAAUAAGGACCGGCUAAUUCCGUGCCAGCAGCCGCGGUAAUACGGAAGGUCCAGGCGUUAUCCGGAUUUAUUGGGUUUAGAGGGAGCGUAGGCCGUGGAUUAAGCGUGUUGUGAAAUGUAGACGCUCAACGUCUGAAUUGCAGCGCGAACUGGUUCACUUGAGUAUGCACAACGUAGGCGGAAUUCGUCGUGUAGCGGUGAAAUGCUUAGAUAUGACGAAGAACUCCGAUUGCGAAGGCAGCUUACGGGAGCACAACUGACGCUGAAGCUCGAAGGUGCGGGUAUCAAACAGG
rnacentral:rRNA from 1 species